UAGAAGAAAUACAGACUGAAUGGCACCAAUCUACACAUAAAUGCCUUAAGAAGCACCUCUAACAAGUGGAGAACAUCUUUUUAGUAUGCAGACGUUUGCAUCAAAUGGUAUACCCUUCUUGCUAACCGAUGGAAUGUGAUGUGUUAUGGAUAGCUUGCUCUGAGUAACUCUGGAAAACUUUAA